rnacentral:misc_RNA from 1 species
AGUCUCCUGGCUAAAGCUGGCUGACUGACUGAAGCAGAGAGAUAUUGUAGACAAAUAAGGCCUUUUUGGUCUUUGUUGGAUAGUGGAUAAGACGUGGACAGAUUGAAAAGCUGUUUUAAAUAGAUUGUUUUCUCUCCAUUAAAAAGAAUUUUUACAAGUUUACUUUCCUUUUCAUUAUCUUCUUCUGACCUAAACGAUUUUAAUAAACCCUUCUUUACCCCAGUUAAACUACCUGUCUUAACAGUGUGAUGGCUAGAUUAGAUUCAAUUCAUUGGCUAAUUAACCUGCUCAGUGCUUUUUUUUUGUCUUUUAAAUUACAAUAUCUAGCUUUUAUCUCCAAAUGAACUUUUUUAAGUGAGCGACUUCAUUCUAUUUUUAUUUAUCUAGAGAGGAAAUGAAUCAGAUAACUAAAAGUGUUUUCUACAGAUAGAUUUAUUGACACAACUAUGCUUUUAUGCAGGGAUUUUAUCAGCGUUGAGCUUAUGGCCCUCAAGCAAAUGUGGAGCAGGCCAUUUUCUU